UACGUAGGCAGCGAGCGUUGUUCGGAGUUACUGGGCGUAAAGCGUGCAUAGGCGGUGUCUUAAGUUUGUUGUGAAAUCUCCCGGCUUAACCGGGAGGGUGCGGCGAAUACUGAGAUGCUGGAGUGCCGGAGAGGUAAGCGGAAUUCCUGGUGUAGCGGUGAAAUGCGUAGAUAUCAGGAGGAACACCUGCGGUGUAGACGGCUUACUGGACGGUAACUGACGCUGAGGCACGAAAGCGUGGGUAGCAAACAGG
rnacentral:rRNA from 1 species